rnacentral:rRNA from 1 species
UUGCCUGCGCUAAGGUAGCAUAAUAAUUUUUUUUUUAAUUGGAAGGUUGGAUGAAUGAGUUAACGAGACUGGUGCUGUGUCUGGCUUAUUUUUAAAAUUUUCUUUAAAGGUAAAAAAGCUUUUAUGAUUUAAUGGGACGAUAAGACCCUAAAAACUUUGAUAUUAGGAUUAGGGAUAUGUUAUGUAUUUUAGCUGGGGCGGUUGUAUUUAUAAAACAAAUAUUAGAAUAGCAUAGUGUAUGGAUUUGUUGAUCUUUUUUGGUAAAGGAAGGUAAGUUACUUUAGGGAUAACAGCAUAAUAUUCUUAGAGAGUUCAAAUUGAUGAGAGUGUUUGUGACCUCG